AACCGUUCAGAACACAUUCCACCGUAGCCUCGUGCGGUUGCCAUGCAGACAGGGGGUCUUAAUCUGACACGCAUUGCUUUACAAGUGAUCUGUUCUCUCUCCUUGUUACCAGUCUGCUUCCUUCUGCGGUCGUUAUUCUUUAGUGCACCUGGCCGUUAUAGCUGCAAUCUGAAAUCAUCAUAAUAUGUAUCGUGAAGGAUUUCAGGCUUUUACCCAAAUUUUUUGGUUUCUCGAACCAGCUUCCAUUUUUUGUUGCUCUAGACCUGUUUCUGCGCAGGUUGUUAGCCAUUUUAAAGUAGCACCCUUUUAAGUUUGUUUGUUUCCAUUCAAAGAGCUCAUAAAAUGCUCGGUUUUCAAACUCAUGUUUGCUAAACAGCAGAUUUGUUUACUCGCUAAGGAGAAAGACAACAAAGUUCCCCUCCCGCCCAAGCGAGCAGGACGCGCGAUUUUGGUGCUCAUGAUCAGCAUGGAAAGCCCGGCAAGCCUGCCUCCAUUUCGACGCCUCUUGCGUGGAGCUAACAGUUUCAGCCAUCAGAAUACGGUUGCAGUGCGCAGCCUGGACGGGAUUUGGUUGUUAGGUUAUUUACAGGAUCUCACAUCGGACGAGAACUAUGCGUUCAUUGAAUUCGAUUCCACGAAAAAGAGUGCAUGCUGGAUUCAAUCCUGCUUCAUAUACCCUUUGCCGCUAAUUUUCGACAACAAGCCACGGACCGUGUGGAAGAAUACGCCAGUAUGGGUGGCGCUACGCGACGAGAUGGACGGACCGUUUCGCUUUCGCCCGGCCACUUUGCUGGAGUGUGUCAAAAUGUGUCGCUUUUGUUACGUGAGCCUGGAGAUUUCUGACGCAGCAGACCGCACCUCUUCUAGCUUAAUUGAAGUGGUGGACCGCUGUCAGAUAGUGGAACAGCUGCCAUCUGAUGAAAUGCCCAUCCAAGAUAAAAGCAACCUGUUGACGUACAGGAAGUACAUUAUCCCUAUUUCAAAAACGGACCGGGUUCUGCAGGAAGCCGCCGAUGUAUAUCGCAUCAUCGCAUUGUUUCGCCGCAGCUAUCAGUACGACCGUUGGAAUCCCGCAACGUCGCUGUCGGACGGUUGUCGCUUUCACCUGGCCGUUGGACCGGAGUCGUGUACUUUCCUUGUCAUAACGCAUAGUAUGGACACCAUCACGGAGCACGAAAGAACUAAAUUUGCUUUGCAUGCACUCUUGGAUAAACACUUCAAGGCACGGCAUCGUGGACUACUUGUAGGAUGCCCGAACUGCCCCGACAACGGAGGGAUUUGUGAAAUGUUAAUGAGGCAGCUGCAACGUUUUGCGGUAAAGCGGAAUCUGAGGUUAUUAUUCCGGAAACCAGUAUCUGCAGUGUUUCGCAUAACAUUUUGAUGGAAAUAUUGGCUAAUCUGGACCUUCAAGCUCGAAUGCGGAUCAAACGCGUGUGCUGGUUGUGGCACGCGAUAUCCAGCGCUCCUGGGACACUCGACGAGCAUGUCAUAAUCAGCUUCAAAGGUUGUGUCUCCACGAAUUGUCUACUCGACAAUUGUUACAAUGUGGCACUGUUGCUGCAUCGUGCAGUCAAUUCAGAAACCAAGAGUCUCACCAUAACUGAUCUCAACUUCAAAGAGCACACUUUCUUUAUUCCGGUCUGGCUGGGCCUUACACAUCUCCAGCUGCCCCUAGUGGUCCUAAAACAUGGCCGCUUUGACUUUGGUGGUUGGGUAUACGAUGAAACGAGUUCGUUGCUGAAACACGGCAUCAUGCGGCUCAUUGAACCCUUCAAAGACCUCUGUCGAACCCUGAUCCUGCACAACUACACAUUAUCCCGUCUCUUUUGCCAUCCUAUCUCGAAUGUGCUUCACGAGGUAGAAGACCUAGUCCCGCUCCCCGCGGCGGAGAAGCAGCUGGUAAUCCCACUCAACGUCCUGAUGAGAGACGGGCAGGGAAGUUUAUUUACUCUUAAUACCACGGAGGUCACGCUGCGCCGGGUCAUGCUGCCCUGCGUGGACGGUUGGGAGGCCGCAAUGAGCCACUUCAUGCGCGCCAUCGAUGCCGCGUUCCCGGCCGCCGGCGCCGAUGUUUACAAGAAGGUGCAGGCGAUUCACGCUCGCUGGCUGGACACCCUCAGUUACCCUGAUGAAUGGCAGCGCAUACGCCACUUGUUGUCUGUAUUCAGUGGAUUUCAAUCGGAUGGGACACCACUCCACUGGGACAAUGUUGACCUCAGGCAGCUGGAGAUCGGUCAGCUGAGCACGAUGGCCUUGUUGGCCAUCAGCGAGGCUUUUGUACAGUGAUGUGAAUCUGUACAGAGUACUUCAUUUUCUGGUUUCUUCGGCUUGUAUCAAGUUUAGCAGUACAUGGCCGGUUUGGCGGGAUUGUAUUAAUAUGUAACAUCCUUGGUCCGGAAUUCCCAUACCAUUUUUCCACAAUUAUGAUGGUCUGAGUGUUUUGUGUGCAAUGCUAUGAGUGUUUUGUGUACAGUCCCAUCUCAUGUUAAUUGGGACAAAUUCUUUAUUUGAGUGAUUUUUAUUGAGCGAAGCUCGCCAUGGUACAUAAUGCGAUUAAAGCUUAUAUGAUGGUCUGAGAAAUUAUUAUUGCCUCAGAAAUAAUUCAACGUGUCGACGAUGGAGCCUCGAAUGAAAUGCACGCCUUGAUACCGUUUCGUACAACUCAACUUUCAUUUCAUGCCAAGCAGCUGUCUCGUUUUGGACACUUUUGUUGGCGUCAGCCGUUAGCAAGUGACUGUCUCUACUCCACGCCGCCGGGUGGACGUCCGCCUGGGGGACCUCCGCCUGAACAGCUCCCGGGAUAGUACCGCCACUCUGAGCGUGGUGAUGCGGGCCCUGGAGUUGGUCUUGGCGCCGGCAUGUGCGUUAGCGUACAGCUCAUGCUGGGCAGCUGGAGUUUUGGCGCGCGCUGCCGGCGGAGGACGCACGGCGCUAUUGGGCGGUGACGAAGACGAGUUGGAUGUGUUUGAUGGCGGUGUGGGUUUGAUGUUUUCAGCGUUCUACUUAACAAGCAAACUGAUACAGACUGCCUGCCUGGCACCUGGUGCUGCAGUACGAGCUGGAGCAAGCGGAUGUGGAGUGGCCGGUGCCGGCGAUGCAUCACAGCCCGGUGACGAUGGCCGCUCUGGACAGCAUAUUCGGGCCAGCCACGGGAAAAAAAAGAUGGAUAAUGUGUAUCUGUAAUUCGCAUUUAUUGCAUUUUCUGUUAACUCGGCAAUGAUUUGCCCUAAAUGUCAACACUUAUUGCUGUCAGUAGACGCAGUACUCUUUACUGCAAUAUAUGUGGGUCAUGGCUCAGGAAUAAGUUGUGUAAAGAAGCAGCGCGUA